AAUCAACGCUGGCGGCGCGCUUAACACAUGCAAGUCGAACGAGAAAGGGAGCAAUCCUGAGUAAAGUGGCGUACGGGUGAGUAACACGUGGGUAAUCUGCCCUCUGGUGGGGAAUAACUCUGGGAAACCGGAGCUAAUACCGCAUAAGAUCGCGAGAUGAAAGGGCGAAAGUUCGCCGGAGGAGGAGCCCGCGGCUGAUUAGCUAGUUGGUGAGGUAAGAGCUCACCAAGGCUGAGAUCGGUAGCCGGCCUGAGAGGGCACACGGCCACACUGGCACUGAAACACGGGCCAGACUCCUACGGGAGGCAGCAGUGGGGAAUCUUGCACAAUGGAGGAAACUCUGAUGCAGCGACGCCGCGUGAGUGAUGAAGCCC
rnacentral:rRNA from 1 species